rnacentral:rRNA from 1 species
CCUACGGGAGGCAGCAGUGAGGAAUAUUGGUCAAUGGACGAGAGUCUGAACCAGCCAAGUAGCGUGAAGGAUGACUGCCCUAUGGGUUGUAAACUUCUUUUAUAUGGGAAUAAAAUGUUCCACGUGUGGGAUUUUGUAUGUACCAUAUGAAUAAGGCUCGGCUAACUCCGUGCCAGCAGCCGCGGUAAUACGGAGGAUCCGAGCGUUAUCCGGAUUUAUUGGGUUUAAAGGGAGCGUAGGUGGAUUGUUAAGUCAGUUGUGAAAGUUUGCGGCUCAACCGUAAAAUUGCAGUUGAAACUGGCAGUCUUGAGUACAGUAGAGGUGGGCGGAAUUCGUGGUGUAGCGGUGAAAUGCUUAGAUAUCACGAAGAACUCCGAUUGCGAAGGCAGUUCACUGGACUGCAACUGACACUGAGGCUCGAAAGUGUGGGUAUCAAACAGGAUUAGAUACCCGUGUAGUC